AUUGAACGCUGGCGGCAGGCCUAACACAUGCAAGUCGAGCGGAUGAAGGGAGCUUGCUCCCGGAUUCAGCGGCGGACGGGUGAGUAAUGCCUAGGUAUCUGCCUGGUAGUGGGGGAUAACGUCCGGAAACGGGCGCUAAUACCGCAUACGUCCUGAGGGAGAAAGUGGGGGAUCUUCGGACCUCACGCUAUCAGAUGAGCCUAGGUCGGAUUAGCUAGUUGGUGGGGUAAAGGCCUACCAAGGCGACGAUCCGUAACUGGUCUGAGAGGAUGAUCAGUCACACUGGAACUGAGACACGGUCCAGACUCCUACGGGAGGCAGCAGUGGGGAAUAUUGGACAAUGGGCGAAAGCCUGAUCCAGCCAUGCCGCGUGUGUGAAGAAGGUCUUCGGAUUGUAAAGCACUUUAAGUUGGGAGGAAGGGCAGUAAGUUAAUACCUUGCUGUUUUGACGUUACCAACAGAAUAAGCACCGGCUAACUUCGUG
rnacentral:rRNA from 1 species